UUUUCUCUUGCCGAACCCGUGCCGCGCCCCUUCUUCUUCCCCACGCGAAAUCUCUCUGCCCUAACCGCUGCCGCCCGCGGCGGUUCCUCCUCCUCGCGACAGGAACCCCUCGGCCAGCAGGGGCUCGUCGGAAGGAGGAUCAAUCCCGUUGCAUCGCGUCGCCGCCACCGGCCGAGUCGACGCCGACCCUUCUUCUCAGCCUAGCGCCGACAGCCGGCCGCCAUCGUCUGUGCCUUAGAUCGUCGGGAGCCGAGAGCCGCCGUCGCACAGAGCAGUGCCGGCCACCAGAUAUGUUCCGAGACCCCCUCACUCUCGAUCACCCCUGCGCCAACACCGUGCCCUAGCUUGUAGCCGGCUCCGAUGCCACUGCCAGCCACUGCCUUGUUUCGUGCUUGAGCAACCGGCGAUCGCAGGGAUCUUCCUCACCAGUCCCGUGCCCUGGGUUUGAUUUUUACAGCCGGCCUUGCUUCAUUUUUCUCGGAGACCAAUCGAUUAAGAAUUCCAGCAAGGUGUUGUUCUGUGGUUUGUUUUGGGUCCGGCAGCUUUCUAACAGCGGCUACUUUUCUUCGGCAGCAACAUUUCUGCUAGGAAUCUAGGACUUUGACGCGAGACGGUACCUCGACGUUGGAUUGGACAUUUCUUAUUUGGAGGCGG